rnacentral:rRNA from 1 species
UAGGGAAUCUUCCACAAUGACGCAAGUCUGAUGGAGCAACGCCGCGUGAGUGAAGAAGGUUUUCGGACCGUAAAGCUCUGUUGUUGGUGAAGAAGGAUGAGGUAGUAACUGGCCUUUAUUUGACGGUAAUCAACCAGAAAGUCACGGCUAACUACGUGCCAGCAGCCGCGGUAAUACGUAGGUGGCAAGCGUUGUCCGGAUUUAUUGGGCGUAAAGCGAGCGCAGGCGGAAGAAUAAG